AAGUCGUAACAAGGUUUCCGUAGGUGAACCUGCGGAAGGAUCAUUACAGAAUAAACUUGAUAAGUUGUUGCUGGCUCGUAAGAGUAUGUGCACACUUGUCAUAUUUAUCUUUCCACCAUGUGCACUAUGCAUAGGAUCUGAUUAAAAUGUGAUCAGGGGAAACCUUGGUUAUUGGAAACUGCUGUUGGCAACAACGGCUUUUUCUGUCUUCAGGUCCUGUGACUUAUAUAUACACCAAGUAUGCUAAAGAACGUUUAAAUGGGCUCUUGUAGCCUAUAUACUUUAAUACAACUUUCAGCAACGGAUCUCUUGGCUCUC
rnacentral:misc_RNA from 1 species